AAAUGAAAUAUUGUUGAAUAAUAGCAAAAAUAAAAGUGUUGUAACUAGUAGUAACAUUUCUUCGCAUACUCUUAUCAAUAAUAAACAAACUUAUAAUAAAUUAAAAAAUACAAUACAUUUAGAAGACACAAAUCAAAUGCCAAACGACGAAUUAAACGACUAUGUUAGUGUUGAUUCGUUUGCACAAGUAGAAAAUCAACCUUAUGAAGGUACACAUGGACAAAGUGAAUUUGGCACUAAAGCUACUACUACUAGUACUACUAGUACUACUAGUACUACUACUACUAAUGUUACUACUAAUGUUACUACUAAUACCACUAAUGAAACCAAUUCAGAGUUAAAUCCUUUGGAUAAUAUUAAAAGUACCCAAUAUAUAUUAUUUAAAAAUUUUAUAAACAAUAAAAAUGAAAACAAUGUACAUAAUUUGUUAGCAAUAGUUAAGGAAAACACAAAUAUACUAAAUGAAAUUACAGAAGACUGUUUAAACAGUUUUUUUAAUUGUGUAUAUAAAAAUAUGAACGAAAUAGAAUAUGCUGAUUUUAUUUUUUUAAUAAACACACUUUAUGGGCUAGGCAUGAAAAAUAGAAUGCGCGAUUUAGCAUAUACAGUGUUGAAUAUGUUGUAUAAAAAUAAAAAUAAAAGCGGUGGAACAUUAAUUAGUUCGGAUGGUACAAACAUAAGCAGUAAUAAUAGUAGUAGUAGUAGUAGUAUAGGUGGAAGUAAUAAUGACAUAAAUAUGAGUGACAUCAGAAAUAAAAAGAUGAAAAUGCAAUAUAGUGGCGAAAUAGAAUUAUGCAUUAAAUUUGUUAACACUUUAAAUAAUAGCAAUUUAUAUUUUUCUGAAUUUUAUGACUAUCUAAUUAAAAAGAUUAAUUAUAUGAGUGAUACUAAUUUAGUUUUAUUUGCAGAAGAAUGUUUUAAACAUUUUUUACGAACGAAACAUUAUUUGGAUCAAAUAGUUAAUAUAUGUAUACACAAAAAUAAAAUAAAAAAUUUUAAUUAUAAC
rnacentral:lncRNA from 1 species